GUGGGGAAUAUUGGACAAUGGGCGAAAGCCUGAUCCAGCCAUGCCGCGUGUGUGAAGAAGGUCUUCGGAUUGUAAAGCACUUUAAGUUGGGAGGAAGGGCAGUAAGUUAAUACCUUGCUGUUUUGACGUUACCGACAGAAUAAGCACCGGCUAACUUCGUGCCAGCAGCCGCGGUAAUACGUAGGGUGCAAGCGUUAAUCGGAAUUACUGGGCGUAAAGCGCGCGUAGGUGGUUUUGUAAGUUGGAGGUGAAAUCCCCGGGCUCAACCUGGGAACUGCCUCCAAAACUACUGAGCUAGAGUACGGUAGAGGGUAGUGGAAUUUCCUGUGUAGCGGUGAAAUGCGUAGAUAUAGGAAGGAACACCAGUGGCGAAGGCGACUACCUGGACUGAUACUGACACUGAGGUGCGAAAGCGUGGGGAGCAAACAGGAUUAGAAACCCGUGUAGUCC
rnacentral:rRNA from 1 species